GACGAACGCUGGCGGCGUGCUUAACACAUGCAAGUCGAACGGAAAGGCCCUGCUUUUGUGGGGUGCUCGAGUGGCGAACUGGUGAGUAACACUUGAGUAACCUGCCCUUGACUUUGGGAUAACUUCAGGAAACUGGGUCUAAUACCGGAUAGGAGCUCCUGCUGCAUGGUGGGGGUUGGAAAGUUUCGGCGGUUGGGGAUGGACUCGCGGCUUGUCAGCUUGUUGGUGGGGUAGUGGCUUACCAAGGCUUUGACGGGUAGCCGGCCUGAGAGGGUGACCGGCCACAUUGGGACUGAGAUACGGCCCAGACUCCUACGGGAGGCAGCAGUGGGGAAUAUUGCACAAUGGGCGGAAGCCUGAUGCAGCAACGCAGCGUGCGGGAUGACGGCAUGCGGGUUGUAAACCGAUUUCGCCUGUGACGAAGCGUGAGUGACGGUAAUGGGUAAAGAAGCACCGGCUAACUACGUG
rnacentral:rRNA from 1 species